GACGAACGCUGGCGGCGUGCUUAACACAUGCAAGUCGAACGGAAAGGCCUCUUUCGGGGGGUACUCGAGUGGCGAACGGGUGAGUAACACGUGAGUAACCUGCCCUUGACUUUGGGAUAACUUCAGGAAACUGGGGCUAAUACCGGAUAGGAGCUCCUGCUGCAUGGUGGGGGUUGGAAAGUUUCGGCGGUUGGGGAUGGACUCGCGGCUUAUCAGCUUGUUGGUGGGGUAGUGGCUUACCAAGGCUUUGACGGGUAGCCGGCCUGAGAGGGUGACCGGCCACAUUGGGACUGAGAUACGGCCCAGACCCCUACGGGGGGCAGCAGGGGGGAAUAUUGCACAAUGGGGGGAAGCCUGAUGCAGCAACGCCGGUUGCGGGUUGACGGCCUUCGGGUUGGAAACCGCUUUCGCUCAUGACGAAGCUUUGGGUGACGGUGGUGGGGAAAGAAGCACCGGCUAACUACGU
rnacentral:rRNA from 1 species